rnacentral:rRNA from 1 species
CCUACGGGAGGCAGCAGUAGGGAAUAUUGCGCAAUGGGGGAAACCCUGAAGCAGCAACGCCGCGUGGGGGAUGAAGGUUUUCGGAUUGUAAACCUCUGUUGUUAGAGAAGAUAAUGACGGUAUCUAACGAAUAAGCACCGGCUAACUCCGUGCCAGCAGCCGCGGUAAUACGGAGGGUGCAAGCGUUAGUCGGAAUCAAUGGGCGUAAAGAGCGCGUAGGCGGGAGAGCAAGUCAGAUGUGAAAUCCUAUGGCUUAACCAUGGAACUGCAUUUGAAACUGGUAAUCUAGAGUGCAGGAGAGGUAAGUGGAAUUCUUGGUGUAGGGGUAAAAUGCGUAGAGAUCAAGAGGAACACUCGUUGCGAAGGCGACCUGCUGGAACGUAACUGACGCUGAUGCGCGAAAGCGUGGGGAGCAAACAGGAUUAGAUACCCGAGUAGUC